AGCCAGACUUUGGUGUGGUCAGACAAACUCUCCCUUAAUGACUGUAAUCGGAUCGAGCCACUUACGAUGUCAGGACGAAUCGUCAUCCCGCUCGCUCCAGACCUGCGGUGAUGGACAGAUUCCCCCCGUGGAGUCGGAUUGGACCGGAUGGAAUUGCUAAAUGCCUACCCGAUGUUUGACUGAGCAAAGAUCUCGGCUGAGCGACUCGUUGAGAUGGACGUAAUGAGACAGGUCCACGCGGGCCGAGCCGUAAACAAGGAGAAAGAGAA